CUGGAGGAGGAGGCGUUUUGAGACUGUGAGGUAGUUGCUGGAAACUGCUCUUCUGACUCCAUGCCCAAAAGAGGCUGUGUGCAAGAAUGGAAUCCCUUGGGGAUUGGGACAUACUCUGUUGUGUCAUUAAGGGUUCUUUAGGUGAUAGAAUCAUACCUGAGAUCCUAGAGGUGGGUGUCAGUGAAAGACGGCCAGGCUCAUGACCUCACUUUCUCCCUUCAUCCUGGGACUUGCAGGGCUAUCUGGGAAAGGCAGAAACCAUGACAAAGGCAAGUCCACGGUGAAGCAGUUUUCUCACACCUCGGAUUAGCCUCUCACAGGUGCAGUUGAGGUUGAGACAGUGUCUCAGAGGCCGCCUGUUGUGAUGGGGAUGUCCAGUAGUGCUGUUGGGGGGCACAGUGGAUUCCUCAUGAAGGCAAAGAAAAAUCAAAGCUCGCCUGAGAGAACAAGACACCUUGUAUUUGAGUCUAAGCAAUGUACAAAGAUUCCUGUCAGAGGACCGUAAAGCUUCCUGCAAAGUGCAAACAACUUCAACUCCCAUAACGAGAGAACGACACCCAACCUGGAGCACAGCCAGCUUACCCAACGUCUCUUUUGCUCUCUGAAAUCUGUGGCAGCUACAUAAUCUGUAGCAAGAAACAGUCCCAUCCUGCAAUAUCUCAAUGAAAGAGCCCCUUCACAAUGAGAAACCUGUGCAGAUGAAAUGAAAGAGAGACUAGAUUACCAGGAAAAAGCCAAACACAGCUGCCUGCUUCUCAUAAUAAAGUAAUCAUCCAGCCCUCCGAAAGAAGCAGGAGAACAAGACUUUCCUUGUUGGCAGCUGAAAUGGGACUUUACAGUAUUAAAAUUAUCAAAGCUGCCCAGUCAUUAAAAUGCGACAGUGUUUAGAAGGAAGCACUUUUGCAAUGGAUUCCUAUGAGGGUCAUUCUCUGUGAAUUGGGAAGAGUUUAGUGUGCAAGUCCUUGAGCCAGACACAGGAAACCCUAGGCUGACUGGGAAAAUGGAAGUCAGGAAAAGAAGAGGUGAAGUUGUGGGACCCCAUCCACCCCUCACAAGAUUUUAUCCUCACUCCUAUCUGACCUUAUUGCUGCUCAAACUCUGUUUCCCAGAAUGAAAUCCCAAGACAAUGGAGGAGUGCCCCUUCAUGUUGUGAAACACCUGCUCAGCUGGGAACUGAAUUCGAGCUGAGAAGUUUGGGCUUAUAGAUGAUCAGUUUGCAGAGGCUUACCCUCAGCAUAUCAAGAUUGAGUCUUUGGAAAUAAAGCCAAGUGAAUAUAAAAGAGAAGUAGAAGAGCAAAUUGGGCAGAAACAUGUCAAAAGCAAAAAACAAACAACAACAAGAAAACCCAGGAUAACAGGCAGCAUUUCAGUUGGAAUUUCCAAAAUGAUGGCACUGAACAAUCUGAAGUCUGCUUUUAUUUAGUGCCCCUGGCCAGUCAGAAAAGAAUGCACAGCUGCCUCACCAUGACCACCUGGGUCCUGCAGUUCUGCCAGCAGCCAGUACGGGACACAUGAGCCUGCCUUUUCUGACCCUUGGAGGACCCGCGUGUUCAGCACAUGCCACCUGAGGAUGAGAGCUCCAUUCUCCUCAGCACAGACUCCAGCCACACUGCCUCACUCCAGUUGGAGGCAGAGAUAAGUAAAAACCUUCCUCUAACUGCUGAGGAUCAGGGACCCACUAGAAGGGUUUUGUGUGGAAAAUUAGAAACAAAAAAAUAUUCCUAUGGCUCUAGUGCACCCCAAGGACUUUCCCCACACCCAAGUGUGGUGACCACAAUGCCAGGUGCACGCCAUGACCUCGUGACACAAAUAUAGCAUUUGUCACACAAUUAUAACACCUACAAUGGAGAUACAUCUGUAAACAAAUAUAUCACCCAUAAUACAGUUGUGACACUUGUAAUACUAAUGUAACAACUGUAAUAUUGAUCUGACACCUGUAAUACAACUGUAAGACUCAUAACAGCAAUAAAACACUCAGAAUACCAAUAUAGCAUCUGAAAUACAAAUAUAAUCACCCUAAUACUGAUCAAACACCCUUAAUAGAACUCUAACUCUCAUAACACCAAUGUCGAUUCACAAUACAAAUGAAACAUCCAUAACACUGAUGUAACAUCUAUAGUGCUCUCUUGACACCUGUAAUACAACUGUAACACUCACAAUACCAACAUACAACUCAUAAUACCAAUAUGGCAUCUGCAAUACAAAUAUAACAACUUUCAUACUGAUGUAACAACUUUCAUAUUGAUCUAACACAUAUAAUACUAAUAUAGCACUCCUAAUACCACUGUAACAUUUGUAAUACAAAUAGAACAACAAUAACACUGAUGUAACACCCGUAAAUACUGAUGUGACACCUGUCAUACAGAUGUAAGACCUGUAAUACUGACAUAACAUUCCUACACUUACAAAGGCAGUUGGUUUCACAGCUUCCACUGAGCUGGAUUUCGCUCCUAUAAUGAAGUUUGAUGUCGUUGUCUCUGCUUUAGUGACAUGGUAUUGACAUGGUUGUUUUCAUUGAAAAGGAGUUUACUUCCCAAUAGUUUUAUACCUCUAGGAAACUUGAAAUAGCAGUUAGUAUACUUUAUCCUUUCUCCCAGAUUCCCGACUGGUUGUUGCUGUGCCAUAUUUGCAGCUUCAUUCAAAAUAUCCCACUGUGUUUUACAAAAAGUAGAAACACUCUCCCAAAUUACCAUCAUGUAACUACCAAAUCAGGAAAUACAGGGUUAGUAUUGGUAAUUGUAAUGGCAAAAUAUUUAUUUACAAGCACAAAUUUAAUCCUGUCACUUUCCUGAUUUAAUUUUGCUAAUGGUUUUGAGAGGUGAAGCCACCUGAACUUCCUGGGUUGAGUGGGGACUCAGAGAAGU
rnacentral:lncRNA from 1 species